rnacentral:rRNA from 1 species
UACGUAGGGUGCAAGCGUUGUCCGGAAUUAUUGGGCGUAAAGAGCUCGUAGGCGGCCUGUUGCGUCGGCUGUGAAAACCCGGGGCUCAACCCCGGGCCUGCAGUCGAUACGGGCAGGCUAGAGUCCGGUAGGGGAGACUGGAAUUCCUGGUGUAGCGGUGAAAUGCGCAGAUAUCAGGAGGAACACCGGUGGCGAAGGCGGUUCUCUGGGACGGUACUGACACUGAGACGCGAAAGCGUGGGGAGCGAACAGG